ACGGGUGAGUAAUGUCUGGGGAUCUGCCCGAUAGAGGGGGAUAACCACUGGAAACGGUGGCUAAUACCGCAUAACGUCGCAAGACCAAAGAGGGGGACCUUCGGGCCUCUCACUAUCGGAUGAACCCAGAUGGGAUUAGCUAGUUGGCGGGGUAACGGCCCACCUAGGCGACGAUCCCUAGCUGGUCUGAGAGGAUGACCAGCCACACUGGAACUGAGACACGGUCCAGACUCCUACGGGAGGCAGCAGUGGGGAAUAUUGCACAAUGGGCGCAAGCCUGAUGCAGCCAUGCCGCGUGUAUGAAGAAGGCCUUCGGGUUGUAAAGUACUUUCAGCGGGGAGGAAGGCAGUGAGGUUAAUAACCUUACUGAUUGACGUUACCCGCAGAAGAAGCACCGGCUAACUCCGUGCCAGCAGCCGCGGUAAUACGGAGGGUGCAAGCGUUAAUCGGAAUUACUGGGCGUAAAGCGCACGCAGGCGGUCUGUUAAGUCAGAUGUGAAAUCCCCGGGCUUAACCUGGGAACUGCAUUUGAAACUGGCAGGCUUGAGUCUCGUAGAGGGGGGUAGAAUUCCAGGUGUA
rnacentral:rRNA from 1 species